AUCGGACCCUUCACGAAAUCCAGGAAUGGCAACAGCUGGUGUCUGACGGCGACCAAUUAUUUUGCCAAGCGUGGAGCCAAGACCCAUUUAAGGACAAGACUGGCGAGGCCACCUCCAAGGCGAUGGUGGACAUCUUCAACACCCACGGUUCUCCUGAGGUCAGAGGUCAUGAACGCUGGAACAAGAUAUCCCUUUCCUACCCCUUCCUCCAUGUUUGGAUGAACGGACCAACCACACCCUCAAGACUGCCAUGGGCAAGUCCCUUGACGGGUUCCAGGAAUGGUGGGAGGACAACCUGAAGAUGAAACCUCACCUGAUGUGGUGGAAGUUGUUGAACCAGAUCAGAACGCCUUCAAGGACCACCUUCAGGCACAGGCUGAGAAGGAUGUGGAGGUUUUUUGACCAGGGACCAUCCCUUACCUCCCUCAUCAACCCCACUGACAUAAAAUAAAUUACAGACAGG